UACGUAGGAGGCGAGCGUUGUCCGGAAUCACUGGGUGUAAAGCGCGUGUAGGCGGCCUGCCAAGUCUGCUGUGAAAGCGCCUGGCUUAACCGGGCGAGGUCGGUGGAAACUGGCGGGCUGGAGGACGGUAGAGGGGGGUGGAAUUCCCGGUGUAGUGGUGAAAUGCGCAGAGAUCGGGAGGAACACCCGUAGCGAAGGCGGCGCUCUGGGCCGGUACUGACGCUGAGGAGCGAAAGCGUGGGGAGCAAACAGG
rnacentral:rRNA from 1 species